GCAGAAGAGGCCUCAGAAGAAGUGGGCCGGCAAGGAGAGGCCUGGCUGCAAGGUGGAGCCCUGAUAGGGGGAACUGCCUGUCAAGCCCCUGCUAGCUUGCCACUAACGUCAUCCUGAUUUACACAACCAACAUGGCAGAACACACUCAAUUGGUCCGGCAGAUAUUAGACAAACUACUGAAGGCGCACUUAUACGUGAAACUUUCUAAGUGUGGAGCCCUGAUGGGGAAGCUGCCUGUCAAGCCCCUGCGGGCUUGCCACUAACCGGGAGGGAAAAGGGGUCACGGCUGCAACCGGAGCGGCGGUGGCUGGAGGCAGCAGCAGCGACAGCCCUCCCCCUUGUACCUGAAUGAUGGCCAGGGGCCGUUUGGAGUAUAGCUGGGAGGCCAUUGUGAUCGGAUGGCUGGGAGCCAGCUGCUGCCAGGUCAUCAUGCCGGAGGAUGGCUGCCAGUCAAACUUCCAGCUUUGCCAGCUCAGCUGUUCAGCAGUCCGCUGGAUGGCUGAUCGGCGCAGAUAAACAGGGAAUUUGAAACCAGCCCUCGCUUGCCCUGCUGCCACGGACCAAAGCCUAUGCCAGGCUGAUUGCUGAGAGCUGUGAACUGGGUUGUUGUUCCAGAUGCUGGUUAUGUGGGUGGGGGGAGGCCCGGGCGGGAUACGUCUAUUUAGCGUGCUAGGAGGCAGUUGCUUCCAGCACUGACUUUGUUUGCAUUUGUUUUGAGCUCGCAAGCCAGAGUGUACCUAAAUAAACCAGGUUUCCUUUGAACCCAA